CGGGGUGAGUAACGCGUGGGUAACCUACCUCAUACAGGGGGAUAACAGUUAGAAAUGACUGCUAAUACCGCAUAAGCGCACAGUGCUGCAUGGCACAGUGUGAAAAACUCCGGUGGUAUGAGAUGGACCCGCGUCUGAUUAGCUAGUUGGUGGGGUAACGGCCUACCAAGGCGACGAUCAGUAGCCGGCCUGAGAGGGUGAACGGCCACAUUGGGACUGAGACACGGCCCAA
rnacentral:rRNA from 1 species